CACGUAGGCACCAAGCGUUGUCCGGAUUUAUUGGGCGUAAAGAGCUCGUAGGCGGUUCGGUAAGUCGGGUGUGAAAACUUCGGGCUCAACCCAAAGCCUGCACUCGAUACUGCUGUGACUUGAGUCCGGUAGGGGAGUGGGGAAUUCCUGGUGUAGCGGUGGAAUGCGCAGAUAUCAGGAGGAACACCGGUGGCGAAGGCGCCACUCUGGGCCGGUACUGACGCUGAGGAGCGAAAGCGUGGGGAGCGAACAGG
rnacentral:rRNA from 1 species